AACGAACGCUGGCGGCAUGCCUAACACAUGCAAGUCGAACGAGACCUUCGGGUCUAUUUGCGCACGGGUGCUUAACGCGUGGGAACCUGCCCUUAGGUUCGGAAUAACUCCCCGAAAGGGGUGCUAAUACCGGAUAAUGUCUUCGGACCAAAGAUUUAUCGCCUUUGGAUGGGCCCGCGUUGGAUUAGCUAGUUGGUAGGGUAAAAGCCUACCAAGGCGACGAUCCAUAGCUGGUCUGAGAGGAUGAUCAGCCACACUGGGACUGAGACACGGCCCAGACUCCUACGGGAGGCAGCAGUGGGGAAUAUUGGACAAUGGGCGAAAGCCUGAUCCAGCAAUGCCGCGUGAGUGAUGAAGGCCUUAGGGUUGUAAAGCUCUUUUACCCGGGAUGGUAAUGACAGUACCGGGAGAAUAAGCUCCGGCUAACUCCGUG
rnacentral:rRNA from 1 species